rnacentral:sRNA from 1 species
AUCCCUGUAAGGAUUUGCUUCCGGUCUUUGACCACGGAUGUACUGGCAUCGAUCGUUGAGGCGAUGGAGGAAGAGGUCGGGUUAGCCCGGCCUUUUUUGCA